GGGGAAUAUUGCACAAUGGGGGAAACCCUGAUGCAGCAACGCCGCGUGAAGGAUGAAGGUUUUAGGAUUGUAAAAUUCUUUCACCGGGGACGAUAAUGACGGUACCCGGAGAAGAAGCCCCGGCUAACUUCGUGCCAGCAGCCGCGGUAAUACGAAGGGGGCUAGCGUUGCUCGGAAUUACUGGGCGUAAAGGGAGCGUAGGCGGACUGUUAAGUUAGAGGUGAAAGCCCAGGGCUCAACCGUGGAAUUGCCUUUGAUACUGGCAGUCUUGAGUACGGAAGAGGUAUGUGGAACUCCGAGUGUAGAGGUGAAAUUCGUAGAUAUUCGGAAGAACACCAGUGGCGAAGGCGACAUACUGGUCCGUUACUGACGCUGAGGCUCGAAAGCGUGGGGAGCAAAC
rnacentral:rRNA from 1 species